rnacentral:rRNA from 1 species
CCCUUAGAUGUUCUGGGCCGCACGCGCGCUACACUGACGAAGUCAGCGAGCAUGUCCUACGCCGACAGGUGCGGGGAAUCUUGUCAAACUUCGUCGUGAUGGGGAUUGAUUAUUGAAAUUCUUGAUCAUCAACGAGGAAUUCCUAGUAAGCGCAAGUCAUCAGCUUGCGUUGAUUACGUCCCUGCCCUUUGUACACACCGCCCGUCGCUACUACCGAUUGAAUGGCUUAGUGAGGCUUCCGGAUUGGUUUAGAGAAGGGGGCAACUCCAUCUUGGAACCGAGAAGCUAGUCAAACUUGGUCAUUUAGAGGAAGUAAAAGUCGUAACA